CAGAUCUCACCCUCCUCAUGUCAUAAGCUUUUCCUCUCUUGCCCUCCAACCUCAUCCUGCUGCCUCUCAACACCCUCAGCACAUGACUCCCAAGCUCUGCCCCUGCGUAGGUGCAGCGAUGGAGGCCAAGUCAGACCAGAGCCCACGUGUGGCAGACCUCUUCAUGGCUGCACUGGCUGCUGCCUGCAGUAUCCCCCUGGAGAGGAACAGCUGUCGGGAAGCCAAGCAGCAGGUCUCUCAGGCAGUAGCUGAAAAGCUUAUGGAAGGAGAGAGCCAGCAGCUUGGGAAACUGCUGGGAAGACUGGAGCACUCAAGCUGCUCCUUGAACGUACUGAAGAUCCUCUAUGCUGGCUGCCAUGCCCACCCAAGGCUGUGCCAGCACCUGGGAAGGAGCCAAUGGCUGUGGGGUUUCCUCAUGCAGCUCUUGAAGGGUGAGGUCCCCUUGGUGGAGGUGGCCCAGGAGGCAGCCUGUGAGGCCUCUGUGUGCCUGCUAGCCCUGCUCACUCUGCACUUUCAGGCCUCCCCUCCCAGGUAAGCACCUGCUUUCAUUCAUGGGUGGGAGAGGAACAUGCCCUGCCCUCAAUAGCCC
rnacentral:lncRNA from 1 species